UGAGACAGGCAAGGUCCCUGCUGUCAUGGAGUCUGCAUCCUAGUGUAGCCACCUUCCCUUGAGCUUAUACCAUUUUAAACAACCUCUUGUGUAAAUAUUUGAGUCUAACUUUUACAAAGGGAACUGCUAGCUUGGACCUUCGCAUUUAAUUCAGAGCUCAACACAAAUUUGAUUCCCAAUGAAGACUUCUUGAGCUAUACCGAGAGAAGAAGAUCAACAGAAGAUUUCUGGCUUUUUAUUUCGUGCUACUUUUUAAAAUCGCUCCUUCCAUAUAGAAGUCUGAGGUCACAUGGGCUUUUAGCAAGGCUAGGACAGAUCCAUUAUUAUUGUAAAUGGAAAAUGUAGAAAUUAAUACAUAUGCAAUAUGUAUAUAUUUAGAUACACCUCAUAUUGUUCAAACAAAACAAAACAAAAACCCUAAACCCUCUAAAGGGAGGUGAGAGCAAAUAGUCUAGUGAUGAGAGCCAAUAUAGUUACUAUUUUUAUAUCAUAAGUUUCACUCUGAGCUUCUGGCAACAAUAAGAGAAGUGUGAUGGAUUGUAUAAUUAUUUCCUCAUCCCUCAUCCAUCCACGGUCUUGAUCUGUUCCACCACCGUCUGGUCUCCUUCACUUUCCAGUUUCCUUUCCCUGUGCUGGCCCUCAAUUGCUGCUUACAGUCUUCCUGAAAUUCCUUUCAUGGCUUUAAGAAGUUAACACUUCUUUUUAUUCUUUUUAUACUGUGUCCUUGAAAUCUAAGUGAGAUGUAUGUGUU
rnacentral:lncRNA from 1 species